GGAUACUAGUUAGUAAGCCGCCCUGGAUUACACUAGCAUUUUCACUGGAGUGUUCCACGUCAUUCUCUGAAGAAAACAUGAGAUCAGGGGAAGAUUCUCCAGCAGUACUGUUGGGUAGAUUAUUUUGAGCAAGAGACUCUUUGGGGUCUUUCCAGACACUCAGAAUGAGGUUGCUGAGUCCAGUCACGUCUGCCUGGGCACGUCCUUAGGUUUCAAGCAUUGGCGUCUGCCAUGGAGGGCUCACUAUAUGAAACUGGGGCAAAUCUGAGAAUUACGGGUUUACACCACACAAUCAGCAUCAGAAAUACCUGUGCAGAUCAGCAGUGCUGUAUCACCAAGGAGAAGAAUGAUUCCCGCAGCCGGCACACAGGUUCCGAGGAUGCGUACAGACCAGUCGGGCUGACAGACAUGAAAACAUAUCAGUGUGAUGGAGCAUAACGGAACCUACAAGAGACUAAAGGUACAUGAGGGGAUUCAGUGGGGGCUCACAGAGUGGACAUUCCCCUAUGGCAGGGGCAGGGGUCUGGAAGGUAGGAAAAGUAGGAGGGGCAUGUGGGAGCCCCAGACUAUGUUUCUCCGUCCCAGAUGAGGAUGAUUGUACUAUACCUGUGCCAAGGUGGGCAUUACAUUAAAAAAAAAAUUUCCACAGGUUAUUGGGGUUCAGGUGGUAUUUGGUUACAUGAGUAAGUUAUUUAGUGGUGAUUUGUGAGAUUAUGGUGCACCCAACACCUGAGCAGUAUAUGUUGCACCCUACUCAUAGUCUUUUAUCCCUCACCCUCCUCCCACCCUUCUCCCCAAGUCCCCAAAGUCCAUUGUAUCAUUCUUACGCCUUUGUGUUCUCAUAGCUCAGCUCCCACUUAUCAGUGAGAACAUAUGAUAUUUGUUUUUCCAUUCCUGAGUUACUUCACUUAAAAUAGUCUCCAAUCUCAUCCAGGUCGCUGCAAAUGCUGUUAAUUCAUUCCUUUUUAUGUCUGAGUAGUAUUCCGUUGUAUAUAUAUACCACAGUUUCUUUAUCCAGUCAUCGAUUGAUGGGCAUUUGGAUUGGUUCCACAAUUUUGCAAUUGCAAAUUGUGCUGGUAUAAACAUGCAUGUGCAAGUAUCUUUCUUGUAUAAUGAUUUCUUUUCCUCUGGGUAGAUACCCAGCAGUGGGAUUGCUGAAUCAAAUGGUAGUUCUACUUUUGGUUCUUUAAGGAAUCUCCACACUGUUUUCCAUAGUGGCUGUGCUAGUUUACAUUGGCAUCAGCAGUGUGGAAGUGUUCCCUGAUCACUGCAUCCACGCCAACAUCUACUGUUUUUUGAUUUUUUGAUUAUGGCCAUUCUUGCAGGAGUAAGGUGGUAUCACAUUGUGGUUUUGAUUUGCAUUUUCCUGAUCAUUAGUGAUGUUGAGCAUUUUUUUUCACAUGUUUGUUGGCCAUUUGUAUGUCUUCUUUUGAGAAUUGUCUAUUCAUGUCCUUAGCCCACUUUUUGAUGGGAUUGUUUGUUUUUUUCUUACUGAUUUGUUUGAAUUCAUUGUAGAUUCUGGAUAUUAGUCCUUUGUCAGAUGUAUAGAUUGUGAAGAUUUUCU
rnacentral:lncRNA from 10 species